UGGUACUAUAUUUACUUAUAAUAAAAUGUAUUUAUUUUUUUCAGUUUUACACUUUGUCUGACAGUUAUUCCUUUUGUAGACCCAGACACUUAUUUUUUAAUUUAGAGUUUACUAUCUAUACUACUUAGGUACACCACUUUUGCUCCAUAACUUAAUUAAACAUUAAUUAAACCGCCCUUGCCAAUCUAAUUGAUCAACUGCAUAUACUUACAACCACCCAAAGGCUCUCAUCUUCCCCCUCGACCACAAAAAUUCCCUUUUAACCUUUUAAUGCUCACCACCAGCUGGCUUUUUAAGCUCAGUGAGUCAUGUCCACAUUGGCAACUUCACAGUUUACCAUAAGAGACAGGGGAGGUUGAGACCCGACCAUUGUCCACACUAUCACUCUUCCUGUCAAACUGUCUCUGAACAUGAUUGGCAAGGACACGACUCCGCCUGCUGUGAAGAAAAGCAAACCAGGGCGCAGCAAAUAGGGCUGGUGGGAGGAAAGUUGUUGCUGGCCCGGAUCCGAAGUGGCACUAAGGUAAGCUUAGUCCCCACCCAUUCAUACCACAUGCAAACACUCUCACACACAUAUUAGCCAAUCACAGGUUAUCCAUUCCUACACUUAUACAUGUGCCCUUGUCCGCCAAGCUGCGCUAUCUCCCUUCGGCCUGGUGCGGUGACACUGAUAUAACAUUUUAGCAUAAAUUUUUUUCCCUAUGAGCACACACAGCCACAAAUACAGUAUAUUCAUCUCUAAAAUAUACAAUUAAUUUUAUGGCAUUUGUGAUUAUCAAC